ACAAGCGGUGGAGCAUUGUGGUUUAAUUCGAAGCAACGCGAAGAACCUUUACCAGGUCUUGACAUCCCGAUGCUUAUUUCUAGAGAUAGAAAGUUACUUCGGUACAUCGGUGACAGGUGGUGCAUGGUUGUCGUCAGCUCGUGUCGUGAGAUGUUGGGUUAAGUCCCGCAACGAGCGCAACCCCUAUUGUUAGUUGCCAUCAUUCAGUUGGGCACUCUAGCGAGACUGCCGGUAAUAAACCGGAGGAAGGUGGGAUGACGUCAAAUCAUCAUGCCCCUUAUGACCUGGGCUACACACGUGCUACAAUGGUUGGUACAACGAGUUGCGAGUCGGUGACGGCGAGCUAAUCUCUUAAAGCCAAUCUCAGUUCGGAUUGUAGGCUGCAACUCGCCUACAUGAAGUCGGAAUCGCUAGUAAUCGCGGAUCAGCACGCCGCGGUGAAUACGUUCCCGGGCCUU
rnacentral:rRNA from 1 species